rnacentral:rRNA from 1 species
UCGAACGGAAUCCAUGGUGUAGCAAUACACCGGAAGAUUUAGUGGCGAACGGGUGAGGAUCACGUGAGAAACCUGCCCCAGACUUUGGGAUAACAGUUGGAAACGACUGCUAAUACCGAAUGACGUCGGAGAACCGCAUGGUUCACUGACGAAAGGAAAUCCGGUUUGGGAGGGUCUCGCGGCCUAUCAGCUUGUUGGUGAGGUAAUGGCUCACCAAGGCUACGAUAGGUAGGGGGCCUGAGAGGGUGACCCCCCACACUGGUACUGAGACACGGACCAGACUCC